rnacentral:snRNA from 1 species
GACCAAUAAUAUCAUGUUUU